rnacentral:rRNA from 1 species
UAACACGUAUGCAAUCUACCCUUAACUGGGGGAUAGCCCCGAGAAAUCGGGAUUAAUACCCCAUAACAUUAUGAUGAGGCAUCUCAUUAUAAUUAAAGCUCCGGCGGUUUUGGAUGAGCAUGCGCGACAUUAGCUAGUUGGUGAGGUAACGGCUCACCAAGGCUACGAUGUCUAGGGGUUCUGAGAGGAUUCACCCCCACACUGGUACUGAGACACGGACCAGACUCCUACGGGAGGCAGCAGUAAGGAAUAUUGGUCAAUGGACGCAAGUCUGAACCAGCCAUGCCGCGUGCAGGAUGACGGCCCUAUGGGUUGUAAACUGCUUUUGUACGGGAAAAAACCUUCCGGUCGGAGCUGAUGGUACCGUAAGAAUUAGC